rnacentral:rRNA from 1 species
AGAAUCAACGCUGGCGGCGUGCCUAACACAUGCAAGUCGAACGAGAAAGUGGAGCAAUCCAUGAGUAAAGUGGCGCACGGGUGAGUAGCACGUGACUAACCUACCCUUGAGUGGGGAAUAACCUAGGGAAACCUGGGCUAAUACCGCAUAACACCUACGGGUCAAAGGAGCAAUUCGCUUAAGGAGGGGUCGCGGCAGAUUAGCUAGUUGGCGGGGUAAUGGCCCACCAAGGCAGUGAUCUGUA